CGGGUUUUGGUGACCGCACUCUGAAGUACACUGAAGCUAUUCGCUUACCCGUGGGGAAAGUGUCUGUGAGAGCCAUGGCUGUCAGCACCGAUGGCCGUCAGAGUGCAGUCGUCACCAAGGUUUUCAUAGUGGCGCCGUCUCCUUCAGAUGAGCAGGAUCUGACUCCAGGCCAUGAGGAUGACAAUUUGAUGAAUGGCAGACCAAUCAAUGGCAAGGAUGAUUCAUUAAUGAAUUUGAAGGGGAGUGAAAAUGGAGCUGGCGUUUCCUCUAUUAAAAGUUUAGGUAA